GACGAACGCUGGCGGCGUGCCUAAUACAUGCAAGUAGAACGAGUUGCGAACGGGUGAGUAACGCGUGGUAACCUGCCUCAUAGCGGGGGAUAACUAUUGGAAACGAUAGCUAAUACCGCAUACUGUGAGAUGGACCUGCGUUGUAUUAGCUAGUUGGUGAGGUAAAGGCUCACAAAGGCGACGAUACAUCGCCGACCUGAGAGGGGGACCAGCCACAUGGGAACGGGGACACGGUCCAGACUCCGACGGGAGGAAGCAGGGGGGAAGAUUGCACAAUGGGCGCAAGCCUGAUGCAGCCAUGCCGGGUGUAUGAAGAAGGCCUUCGGGUUGUAAAGUACUUUCAGCGGGGAGGCGUUACCCGCAGAAGAAGCACCGGCUAACUCCGUGCCAGCAGCCGCGGUAAUUC
rnacentral:rRNA from 1 species